GCUGAGAAGUCCUAACAUCAGGAAGAGAGGGCCUUUUCUCAGCUCUCCUCAUGCUAAGAGGAUCCUGGUUGCUUCUGGUAAAAUCCUGAGGGACGCUGACACCCUGAAUCGCCAUGGGCAAUGAGAACAGCACCUCGGAAAGCCAGCAAGAGAACUCCGGCUUGCAUAACGUCAUCCUGUGGCCUCCAAACCCUGAGCCUGCACAGGUACCGGGAGGUGUGCUAUGUGUGGUCUGCUCUCUGCCCC
rnacentral:lncRNA from 1 species